UUUAAACAAUUAUAACAAUCAAUUAUGUCAUUAAAAUAAUAAAAAUAUUCAUUAAAUUUUGAUAAACAAAAAUAUCCAUUAAAUGAUUAUAGCGUUGUCCUUCAAAUCUCUCAAAAUUGAUCACAUGGUACAACUAAAUCCUAGAGAAAUCUGAGGAAAUAAAGCCUUAAGGCUGCCUUCAACCAUUCAAAGUUUCACCUCAUUUACUGCAUCUCACGAAUUCUUCGUUUUUGCCCUAAUUCAUUUGAAUGAACUUACUCUUUGUUUAUUUCGAUUCCUUAUUUUUUUCUUCAAAAUUUCUGUUGAGUUUUUGCCCUAAUUUGCUCAAUCGACGGUUGUUUUUGUCCUAAUUUGCUCACAGAAGCAGCCCCAUACAAUUACCUGUCGGACAUACAACGAUCAGACCAGCUCUUUGAUUCCUUCGGUUUGCUUUCCUUCCUGUUCAAGCGAAGUAGACGACUCAAAUCGAAGGGGAAGGCCAGCUGGAGAACGGCACCCUCCUCUUCCUUUGAACCAAUCAACCACCGGUUCCUUUCCACCUUCGCACAUCACCAUCGGAGCAGGAAGAGGGCUUCACGGCUUCUUCCCACCUUCAUUUCAUCGGCCUCGUUGAUCCCGGGGACGAUCUCUUCGCGAAUUGAUCGACGGAAUGCGAUCCUUCGCACCCCCUUAUGCCGCCUCCUGCCUCGCCUUCGAUCUUGUGGUUUUCGCCAUCGGACCGCCUCGCUGCCAACGACGUCCAGAAACACGUGAGGGAGUCGCCGGAGAUUGGAGUUCUCCUCUCCUCCUCAGGAGGGACCGAACGUCACCACCAAAUCGCUGCGUUCGUGCUUCCUUUAUUUUUCCUCUCUGUGUGUUCGUCGCCUUCACUAGUUCUUCCCUAUACCCGAUCAAAACAAAAGAGACGGGGCAAUUUAGGCCCUAAUUUCUGUAAAGUUUGAACCAUUAAACAAAAAUGGUCCCUCUAUGAGAAUUCUCUUCAUAAAAACCCUAAUCCCUUUUAAAUUUCUUAAAAAAAAAAUGACAAAAUGAACCUUCAUUUGACAAAGCAUUAAGAAAUUAGUCCCAAACCCUAAAGUGUUUCAAAGUUCAAGAAUGUUUAUUUUGAGGUUAUUCACUAAAAGGCUUCAUGAAAACGAACCAGGAUCGAGAUCACGCAUCGAAUGUGAGUUCUACAGCCCUUCUUUUACUGCUUUAAUAUUUGGAAGAGAUUACAUGUGAGUAUAUUAAAGCUUUGAUGAUUGUCUUGUUUUAUUCACAUAAUAGCAUCAUACUUUAUUAUUGUUAAAAAAACUUAUUAAAUAGCAAUCUAAAAUGUAAUAAAUCAUAUAAAUUAUAGUAGAAUGCUAUAAAUGAUAUAAUUACACCUCGUUCUAUAAUGCUUUACCCAUUCGAUCCCUUCCUGCAUUUGGAGAUGGAAUAUAAACCCUUAUACCAUUGAGUGAUCCAUAUAUUCUACAACUCAGCAAAACCCAGUAGCAAUAUGUGUUUUGAUUUAUUGUAAAAAACAUAUUUAAAAAUACAAAGUGGGCUCUCAGAAAUAAAUUAUUACUUAUCCUUUUUUAAUAUUAUAAAAAAAACAUCUUUUAAACUCAAUAGCAAAGAAAAGACAAAGUUUUAGUAUACCAUGUAAACAGAUUACAUCGAUAAAUCUUAUUGGAAAAUGCUUGGGGUUGAUUAAUUUUGGUUAAUUAGCAGGUUUUUUUGGUUAACUUGUGUUGUCUGGGCAUGCCAAGAAGCAUAGUUUUUUUAAAGUAUUUGAGGAACCAUUUCUGGUUCGGAGUGGGGUGAAGUCAAGGGCCCUAAAACUGGAGGAUAGUUGUAUUUAGAGCCACUUAAAUAUUGAAGAUUUUUGUCGGCAUUAAUUUCAAUAAUUAUAUGUACCCUAGAAGAGAUAUCAUAACCAUAGUUUAUUUUAUAUAAUGUUUUUUUUUUUGUAUAUUUAUUAAAUGUUGUACAGGUGAUGUCUACAAGGUGUUGAUAUUUUUUUGUUGGCAAGUUAUUACGCUAUCUAACUCCCCCAAUAAUCUAUAAUAUUUGUAUAAGAUGAUGACAAUUAUUAUUUUUUAUUACAGCUUCUCUUCAUAUUGA